GAGGGAGUAACUAUCCUUCCAUGUGACUCCAGACCAGAUAACACCCCCUCCAGCGGGAGUGGGAGGAGCUGCAAACAGGACGGCUUUUCUAUACCCACCCUCCACUUCCACACCAGUGGGAUUCCUGUGCCUGGCCCAGGAUGCUCUGACCCUGGCAAUCUCUGUCUUGGGCCAGGCCCUGUCACCAGCCUACCUAGCACAGGGCCUGCCUCCCCAAGGACACCCUCCCCUCCUGGCAGUGGCCUUGGAAAGAACCCCAGAGCUGUAAAAUGGAACGAAGUCACGUGGACACACACCUCUUCUCCUCCUGCUCUCCAGCAUCCCCUCUGGAGCGGCAGCAGAAACAGGCUGGAGGGGACACUCUUGGCUCAUACCUGGUGGUGGGAGAUCGCUUCCGCCUCUCACAGUGGACAGCAUCAAAGAAGGCCGCAUUCCAGAACCUUGACGUGUGCCUGCGGGAUGAGACAUGGUAAAGGUCUACCCAGGAGUAAGCUGGUCCUUCCUACGCUCUACCCCAAGAGUAACAGCUUCUCAUUUUGUGAAGCCUGAGAGGGCUGAUCACAGUCACUGCAAGAGCAAGAACAUCCGAGGGCAGCCUGUGCUGGACACUCCAUGAUGGGAGAUCCUAUGGACACUCAGCAGGCACUGUGUCUCCCAAAAGCCAUCGAGCUACACUGCCCACAUUCCAG